GGAAGAUUUUCAUGGAGAGGUCAAAGUUGGUUGGUUCAUUCCCUGAUGAAACUCUUGAGUUCCAGAGGAAAAUUCUUGAGAGGUCUGGCCUUGGUGAAUCAACUUAUCUCCCUGAAGCUGUGCUGAGGGUACCACCAAAUCCUUGUAUGGCAGAAGCACGGAAAGAAGCUGAGAUGGUUAUGUUUGGUGCCAUUGAUGAGCUCCUUGCUAAAACUGGUAUUAAGCCAAAAGAUAUCGGAAUUCUAGUAGUAAAUUGCAGCUUGUUUAAUCCAACACCCUCUUUGUCUGCAAUGAUUGUGAACCAUUACAAGCUCCGUGGAAACAUUGUGAGCUACAAUCUAGGUGGAAUGGGUUGCAGUGCUGGUUUGAUCUCGAUCGAUCUUGCAAAAGAUCUUCUUCAAGUACAUCCCAAUACCUAUGCUUUGGUGCUCAGCAUGGAAAACAUCACCCUGAACUGGUAUUUUGGGACUGAGAAAUCCAUGCUCCUUCCAAAUUGCUUAUUCCGGAUGGGAGGUGCUGCUGUAAUGCUCUCCAACAAAGGAUCUGAGCGAAGAAGAUCAAAGUACCAGUUGGUGCAUACUGUCAGAACUCACAAAGGUUCCGAUGACAAGUGUUUUUCUUGUGUUUACCAAAUGGAAGAUCCCAAUGGAAAAGUUGGAGUAUCGCUGUCAAAGGAUUUAAUGGCAGUAGCUGGCGAUGCUCUAAAAACCAAUAUCACUACGUUGGGCCCUCUUGUGCUUCCCAUGUCCGAGCAGUUGCUUUUCUUUGCAACGCUCGUGGGAAGAAAACUGUUGAAGAUGAAGAUCAAGCCUUAUAUCCCAGAUUUUAGAUUGGCGUUUGAGCAUUUCUGCAUUCACGCU
rnacentral:misc_RNA from 1 species